rnacentral:misc_RNA from 1 species
AACUUUCGACAAUGGAUCUCUUGGUUCUGGCAUCGAUGAAGAACGCAGCGAAAUGCGAUAAGUAAUGUGAAUUGCAGAAUUCAGUUAAUCAUCGAAUCUUUGAACGCACAUUGCGCCCGCCAGUAUUCUGGCGGGCAUGCCUGUUCGAGCGUCAUUUCAACCAUCAAGCCCCCCGGCUUGUGUUGGGGACCUGCGGCUGCCGCAGGCCCUGAAAACCAGUGGCGGGCUCGCUGUCACCCCGAGCGUAGUCAUACAUCUCGCUCUGGGCGUGCUGCGGGUUCCGGCCGUUAAAAGCCUUAUUUACCCCAGGUUGACCUCGGAUCAGGUAGGAAGACCCGCUGAACUUAAGCAUAUCAAUAAGCGGAGGCC